UACGGGGGGAGCAAGCGUUGUUCGGAUUUACUGGGCGGAAAGGGCGCGUAGGCGGCCACCGCAAGUCGACUGUGAAAUCUCCGGGCUUAACCCGGAAAGGUCAGCCGAUACUGCGGGGCUAGAGUGCAGAAGGGGCAACUGGAAUUCUCGGUGUAGCGGUGAAAUGCGUAGAUAUCGAGAGGAACCCCUGCGGCGAAGGCGGGUUGCUGGGCUGACACUGACGCUGAUGCGCGAAAGCUAGGGGAGCGAACGGG
rnacentral:rRNA from 1 species